CGCCGGGAUGAAAUCUGUCAGGUUCUCCAGAGAGCCGAACCAAACCUUCUGUCUCCAUCAGAAAACUGCAGUCCUGGAAAACUGUGAGAAUAUGAUUAUUCAAGACGCUGCUCUUAAGAAGACCUGCAUAACCGAGAUGCCGUCUUCCUCGUGUCACUCCAGCUCUGGCCCUGAGAAGAAGAUCGGUCACCGGCGGGUCGAUGCAUCCGGUGAAACCACCUACAAGAAGGUGCGUCUUCUUCAGUCUCCCAUGAGCUUCACGGUGUCUCGAUCUCAUCUGGCAAUUUUGUCAAUUUCAAUCACAAUGUCGGUCAUCUUUUACCUCAGGCUGCUGAUAUAUACAGCGUGGUCCAAAAGCGUCCAUGAUGGACAUCUAGGUUUUUUUUUAAAUCCUGGAAAUCAUCAGAAAGCUUUAGGAUUUUGAAAACAAAUUUUUGACUUUAUUGCAUACAGUACAUACACACAUUAAAAUUGCUAGACUUAAAACGUUAUCAUUAUAGACAUUAGUUUCAGUUAAAUAAAACAUUACUGUGCAUUGUUUAUUGACA
ensembl:lncRNA